GAUGUAUAAUAAAUUUUUAAUCCAAUGUUUAAGUUUUACGAUUCCGUCAUUUAUGAACGGUUCCUGCAGCUGCGCGCGCCGCGCGUCUCGUCAUUCAUGGCCGUGCAACACGAUUUUCAAACGUCAACACACAAUCGCAGAAGGCGCUGCUGCUUGCGGAAUGUUUACCUUUUCGUUCGGUAUCCGCGAGUGGUCCCGCUUUGGUGGUGAAGGGCCGCGUCCCGUUAUCGUUGUCGUGUGUGUGCGUGUGUGUUUGUGUUUGUUUACAUUUUGUGGGGAAACAAAAUUCGCGAGUGUUUGAGUAAUCGAGCUUGCAGCAGAAGGAAAAUCAAAGCAGUUUGUUUCCGGAAUAGAUUCAGCUGACAAUUUGUAAGGUUUCGGCUUUUGCAGAGGAUUUAAAAAGUGAGUGCGUAACUACUUGCAACUGACAGAUGAAGGAAAGCUAUUUCCGGACCGUGGAAAGGAUGGAUUCUUCAACUGUUACUCAUCAUAAUGCAGAUUCUGCCCAGCAGAGGGCAUUUGCGUCCUUGGAUCGUUUGUGCAUGAAACUUCUUCGCCAGGAAGGACCAUGGAUCAACCCGGAAAAAUCGAUAUGACGUUUUGAUGUUUUCACUUUAUGGUUCCAACAAUCGAUGUGUUCAAUCAUCAAACAACAAUUCAUUAUUUGUACCACCAAGAGUCAGAUAAGUAUUUUAUUUAUUUUAAGCUUAGCUCAAAAUUCUUUGUGAAAUUUUUAUUUUAUUUUUAGGUGUGACCAAUUUAAUCUGUUUUGGAAGUAAUUUUUCAUCGAAAUGGUAUUUGUUCAAAAUCACGAACUGGCAGUGAGGCUGAGCUUUGGAAGUCGGUGUCAUCAUGGAGACCGUGAG